CUGUUAUUUGUUUGGUAGUUUUUGUUUGAAUUGUUUAAUGCUUUUUUCUCGUUUCAUGAGCUGUUUCUAGUUUUGGCGUUGCUUAGUUACCGAUGAUGAGACGAUUGGAUUGGAGAUUUCAGAGUAGACUAAAUAUUAUUGAUGAUGAUGACGAUGAUGGCGAUGAUGAUGACUAUAUGACGAGCAAGACGAUGAUGCAGAUGAUGGAUGGACGAAGAUAUGAUGAUAUGAGAUGAAUUUUGGAUGGAUUAGCAAGAUGCCGGAUUACUGGACCGAACGACGAUACCGACGGAGAGGCCUUUUGAAGAUCUGGAAGACUGAAGAUUUUGUUUUAUAAUGAAAUGUAUUAUAUUUUUGUAAUGUAUUUUUGCAUUGUUUGUAAUAAAUUUUUU